rnacentral:lncRNA from 1 species
AUGCGGAGAAUUCUGGAACCUCUGUUGAAGUCAGCUGAAGCAUCUCUCCUGCCACUGUGUCAGAACAUUCCUUCUGCUUCCCUUGGUCUUCAGCACAUUUGUCCCCGUCCUCAUUGGAGCAGCAGUCACAACAGUCUUGGCUCCCGCUCCCUGGCAUCCUCCUGGGACUUGACCCUCCUGGAACUUUGCUGCCCUUCUCUGUACCCUGAGCCUUGCCUGCAGUGAGUGUCUUCAGUUGCUCUGUGCAGUGUGACACAGCUCAACCCCUGCUGCCUAUCAUAGGAGCCCUUUGACCAUGCUUAACAAUGGUUACAGCCAGGAAAAUAAUGUUCUGCAAAUGGUUUCAGCAAAUAAACAAAUAAAACAUUUGCUACUUUUUGUUUUU